rnacentral:rRNA from 2 species
UAUUACCAAGAUGAAAAAGGGACUAUCGGGAAUGACUAGCCAAUACAUCCAAAGGAGGUAGUUAUACCAAAAAUCGUAAUGAAUGAUUUGAUAAUUACGAUAAUCCUAAGGGAAACCAAUUUAAUAAUAACUCUACGAACUGAAACAUCUAAGUAGUAGAAGGAAAAGAAAUCAACCGAGAUCCUGUUAGUAGUGGUGAGCGAAAGCGGGUUAGCCUAUUUUUUAGUGAGUUUCAAAGGCGAAAGUCUUUGGAACUCAAAUUUUAUUAUAAUUUGUUUGGAAUGACAAACCAUAGAGGGUGAAAGUCCCGUGAUAAAAAAAUUAGUCCUGUAUUUAAUAAUGCGGGCUUACUAAAAAUAGUAAGUAAGAUGAGAGAUAACUUGUCUGAAUAUAGGGGAACCAUCCUCUAAGGCUAAAUAUGAUGUAUUGAGCGAUAGUGAAGAGUACCGUGAGGGAACGUUGAAAAGAAAGUAGAUAACUGGUGAAAAGAUCCUGAACCGGUAGUUCUAUAAGCAGCAGGAAUCUUAGUUUAAAUACAAGAUGACUGCGUACCUUUUGCAUAAUGGGUCAGCGAGUUAAUCUGUGGUGCAAGUAGAAAUACUUAGCGAAAGCGACUACGUUAAAUGGGUAAGUACCAUGGAUUAGACCCGAAACCAGGUGAUCUUAUCAUGACCAGGUCAUUAAGGACCGAACCAGUGUUUGUGGCAAUAAACUUGGAUGAGUUGUGAUAAGCAGAGAAAGUCAAAUCUGACCUGGAGAUAGCUGGUAUUCCGCGAAACAUAUUUUGGUAUGUUGUCCUUCGUAUCUGUAAACUGGUACAGCACUGGAUACUAUGUCCCUUGUGGACUUGAUUGGGGGGUCGUGAUGGCUCUAUCAAUAGAAUCGGUUGUAAAACCGAUUCCCAAACAUUUUUGUUUGGGAAUCUAACCUCGGAAUGGUUUAUAGUUAAUAAAGGACGGUCAGACUAUAGGUGCUAAGGUCUUUAGUCGAGAGGGAAACAGCCCAGAACAAAAAUUAAGGUCCCUAAAUACUACUAAGUGAAAUUAAGGUAGUCCAUAAAAUUACACAACCAUUCGGUGGGCUUGGAAGCAGCCAUCCGUUAAUGAAAGCGUAAUAGCUCAAUGGUCUGUAAUAAUAAGUUUUAAGGGCACCGACAAUGUAUCGGGUCUAAGUAGUAUACCGAGAUUUUGUCCCAAUGGAAUUAAUUCCAUUGGAGGGUAGCGGAACACUCAGGACAUGGUUGAAGGAUAGGGUUUCCUUAUCUGGACAUAACUGAGGAGAGAAUGCUGACAUGAGUAACGUAAAAGUGGGUAAGAUCCCACUCGCCGAAAGCAGAAGGGUUUCAUGGCUGGGCUCAACCUCCAUGAGUAAAGUAACGGCCUCUAAGGUUUUUUAACAAUCGGUCAUAAAUAAUAGCACUAUUACCCAAAAGGUGUAGUGUUAUUUAUUUGUGAUUUUUUAAGAUUGGAACCCCGAUAGGGGUAACCGAUGAGAAAAACUGAUUUAAAUAACAAUUUUAAAUUUAUACAUAUCGGUAACGGUAUAGUUGUAAUUUAAAAUUCAGGAAAUGAUUUACCUCGCACGGCGGCACCAUUUAGGUGUCAUUCCGCGCGGGGCUGAUAUUUAACCGUACCCUAAACCGACACUGGUCUGCUGGUAGAAUAUACCAAGGCGUUGAGCGAAUCAUCUUGAAGGAACUCGGCAAAAUGACCCCGUAACUUCGGGAGAAGGGGUACGACUUUUAUGGUCGUGGCACAGAAUAGAAGAGUACGACUGUUUACUUAAAACACAGGUCUUUGCUAAUAGGAAACUAGAUGUAUAAAGACUGAUACCUGCUCAGUGCUGGUAAGUCAAGAGAGGUACUAAUACGGUACUGAUUGAACCUCCAGUAAACAGCGGUUGUAACUAUAACGAUCCUCAGGUAGCGAAAUACCUUGGCCACUAAUUAUGGUCGUGCAUGAAUGGUUUAACGAUACUCUUACUGUCUCCAAGAUGAGCUCAGUGAAAUUGAAUUAUCCGUGCAGAUGCGGAUUACCAUUAGCUAGACGGGAAGACCCUAUGCAGCUUUACUGUAGUUAGUCAUUGUGUGCUUAUAAUUAAGGUGUAGAAUACAAGGGAGUCGAUUAGACAUCAGUGAAAUACCUUGACUUAAUUAGGAGCAUGCUAAACCAAAUUUUUGGGACAGUGAUUAAUGGGCAGUUUAUCUGGGGCGGAUUUCUCCCAUAUAGUACCGGAGAAGUACAAAGGUCGGCUUAAAUCCGAUGGAAACGGAUGGGCUAAAGAGAGCCUAAUUAAGUGUAAUGGCAUAAGCCGGCUUAACUGUAAGACCCACAAGUCAUACAGAUACGCAAGUAGGUCAUAGUGAUCCGGUGGUCCAUUAUGGAAUGGCCAUCGCUCAACGAAUAAAAGCUACGCUAGGGAUAACAGGCUGAUCAAUCCCGAGAGUCCAUAUUGACGGAUUGGUUUGGCACCUCGAUGUCGACUCAUCACAUCCUGGGGGUGUAGGCGCUCCCAAGGGUUCGGCUGUUCGCCGAGUAAAGUGGUACGUGAGUUGGGUUAAGUACGUCGUGAGACAGUACGGUUCCUAUCUACUAAUGGAAUUAGAAUCAAACAAGAACCUGCCCCUUGUACGAGAGGAUCGGGGUGGACUAAUCUCUGGUAUACCAGUUAUUGUUUCUUUCCCUUUUGGGAUGGGUACAGUACGGCUGGAAAGCUACAUUAGGAAGGGAUAACUGCUGAUAGCGUCUUAAGCGGGAAGCCUGUCUUGACAUGAUUCUUUAAUAGAGUGACUGUAGAUCACAGUCUUAAUAGGUUGCAGGUGUAAGCGGAGUAAUCCGUUAAGCUGGGCAAUACUAAAUUCUUAAGUAACUUGGUAAUA